AUACCAUGAUGUGGGCAUUUUCUUAACAUUGCUGCUAAUCUUUCCCAUGCCUGGUAUACAGAUUCAAAAUCUGUCUGCAUAAAAUUAUUGAUUUCUUGCUUCAUUUU
rfam:Nicotiana attenuata strain TT chromosome 2, whole genome shotgun sequence.